GCAACUCCGCCGCCGCGUGCUGUGACACACACACAUAUAUAUAUAUAGCUACGGACGGCGCGUCAUAUUAUAUUUGCGUUAAGCCGUCGUUCCGGUUGAAGCCGUCGUUCCGCGAGUCGGACGACGCGCGUCUUUUCCCAACCGUCGGCACGACGUGACUCCGCGUCGCCGUCCCCCAUUCCGGUUGUUUGUCGGCCGCCAAAAACCUCGUGGUUUGUGCCGAGUUUUUAUUUAGUUUUUAUCGAUUGCGUGCCGCUGCUGAGUGUUCUGCAUGCCGCCCCGCUCACAUCGCGACGUCGCGGUCGGGUGCCGUAGCCGUCCACCAUGAGCGCAUACGGUUGCAAGCUAUAUGACCGAAGCAUCCACCAUCGCCAACUCGACAGCGGACUGGUGGACCAGAUCAAUCGGACUGAAGACAACUAUAAGUAUGGUAAUGCAAAAAUAUUCUUCAGAGCUGGUCAAGCUGCAUAUUUAGAAAGAAAACGGGCUGAUAGACGUAAAGAUUGCAGCAUACAUACCUAUUCAAAAAACUUGGCGAAAAUACAUAUGCCAAAAAAAAUUACUUACAUAUUCAAAAUAGUGCAUUAUUAAUUCAGCGAUAUGGAAGAGGUUGCCUAGAUAGACGGUUAAUAACACAUUUACGGAGAACCAAACCUGCUUCUAAAAUUCAGAAGGUUCUACGAAUGAGGUUAUGUCGUGAAAAUUAUUUACAGUUACAAGCAGCAAUACUUGGUUACAGUACCGGUAGGGAAGAAAUUAUUUACCGAGGGCUGUCUGCCUAGACCGGCCCAAAAUCACUGAUUCUAAAUUUCUUCAAGCCGGCCCAAAUCUUUCGAAUUUUUAACGGUCCCCUGGGUUUUGCCCGGUAGCCCGCCGUCUCAAUCUGGGCCUGCUUGGUUAUUUACUUCGUCUUGCAAUGGUAUUAUCGUGGCUACAAAGCUAGAAAAUUCACUUUAGAAUUAAGGCGAAACAAUGCUGUGAGUAGUUAUUUUAGGAUUGUUGUACUAUACAAUGUAUUAAUAAUUACAAUACAUACUUUCAAAAUAUUGGACUAUAGGCUCUGUGCGUAUUCAAUCAAUAGUAUAAGGGGGGCUAAUUUAAAGAAAAUUGUACUUUUUUUCCAAGAGUUCUAAGACACUGCUUUCCAAGCACAUAGUUACAUACAAUCUGCCAAGAUCUUCAAAUGGUUUCGAACUUGUAGAUGUAUUGGACAUUGUUUGUGUGACAUGUCGAUUUUAAAUUUUAUUCACCUGACACGAUUACGUGAUGUACAAAUUUACAAGGCUGGGCAAGUUAAUGAUAUUUUUAAACUCAGUUAAGUUCAGUUAAUAUGCACCAAUAACAAAAAGUUAAAAGUUAAUACACACUUUUUGUUAACUUUUUAUUAAGUUAAAAAAAAGUUAAUUUGUUUAUACAUUUUUUUCCAACCCAAAACUAAAUUAUAGGAUAUAGUGUUUAUACUUCAUACAGUAUUUCCAUAUAAGUUUGAUUCAAAUGAUAUAAAAUUUUAACUUCAAACAAUUUACGAUACAUAUUUUUUGACAUGAAAACGAAAUAGACUGAAAUAGUGAAAUAUUAUAAAAUUAAAAACAAAAUAAAUUAACUUAACUUACUUCUUAAAAUGAAAAAUUAACUCGUUAAUUUCACGUUAAUUAAGAAAGAAAUUUAGUAAGUUAACAGUUAAGUUAAUG